AGUCUGUAUUCAACAUUCGCUGUAAUACUUUCUCGGAUUUUUCGUGUUGUCCUAUCUUCGUCGUUCUUUUACAAUAAUUAGAUUUAAUAACAAUUUUUCAAAAUUAUCUAUUUGUCAAAUUUAACUAUAAGAUUUAUCUUUAAAAAUUCCAUUCCAUAGAGCUUAUUUUAAUAAUUAUGUUUAUUAACUUAAAAUAGCUCUUUUUGUGAACUAUUUUAACUAGAUAGUACUUAAUUAGUACAAAAGUAUCUUAAUAUAAAAUCUGUCAAUUGAUGGUGGGCCCAGAGAAUUAAAAAAGUGGAAUACAAUUUUUCGGACUUGCACACCCUUGACGUAUUAUGCUGUUCAGUCUACUCAUAUCAUGGCCACAACAAACCGUUAUAUUUCUCACAAUACUUACAAUUUACAUAACUGGAAUACCAAUAGAAAAACAAAAUGCUUUUUCGUCCAAAUGGAACACACAUAAUAUGUCUAUAUGGGAAGACAUAAUACUUUUGAGUGCUGAUUCCGAUCAACAACCAUUGAUUUUAGUCAAUCAGACAGAACGCCAUUCUUCCGUAGACUUAGAAAAAAUAGAAAACGAAACAAUGAGACAGUUUGAAAUUUUAAAAGCAAAUUACAGUAAGUACUUCUACGAGGCAGAUGAUAAAGAGGCUAAAGACGAUGGUAGAGCAGCUAGAGUAGUCCUACCAAGGUUUGUCGAUAAAGCUCUUCAAUUACUUAAUAUGAAUCAAGUAGUUGGUGAAGUAGAGACAAGCGUCAUGUCAAAAAUGUCUUGCACAGCUUGCAAAGCUGGUGCUAGUUUAUUACAAAAUUAUAUACGAUCUGGAAAAACGCGUGAUGAUAUUGUUAAGAUUACUUACCAAUUUUGUAUUAGUUUCAAAUUACAAACCCCUCGUGUUUGCGAAGGCAUUACUGAAUUGUUUAGUGGAGAAGUAGUUUACGUUCUCAAAAGAAUAUCAAUAGGUCCUGAAGAAAUAUGCAGUUUUGUCAUUGGUGAUGCCUGUGGGGAUGUCUAUAAUCCAACACACGACUGGGAUGUAGUUUUUCCACCAGUACCCAAACCAUCUCCAAUAGAACCAAUAAUUCCGAAAGAACCUAUACCUCAAUUUAAAGUACUACAUCUAUCAGAUACACAUUUUGAUCCGUACUAUGAAGAAGGCACAAAUGCUGAAUGUAAUGAACCUCUUUGCUGUCGAUUAACCAACGGACCAGCAGCUACUACUCAAGCACGAGCUGGAAGAUGGGGAGAUUAUAGAAAAUGCGACACUCCAAAACGUACAGUGGACAGUAUGUUACAACACAUUGCCACAAAUCACGCUGACAUUGACUACAUAAUUUGGACGGGUGACUUGCCAGCACAUGAUAUUUGGAAUCAAACUAGAGAGGAAAACUUAGCAAUAUUAAAAGAAACAGUUGCACAGUUGUUAAACAUGUUUCCAGGAAUUCCUAUAUUUCCAGCACUUGGUAAUCACGAAGCCGUGCCGGUAAAUAGCUUUCCUCCAAGCUCUGUCGUAAAUAUACCAGAAUAUGCCAUCGACUGGUUGUACAGUGAACUAGAUACCCAGUGGCGCCGCUGGUUACCGAGUUCAGUUAGCAGAACUAUAAAACGAGGUGCUUUUUAUAGCGUACUUGUUCGACCAGGUUUUCGAAUCAUCUCUCUUAACAUGAAUUAUUGCAAUAACAAAAAUUGGUGGUUAUUACUUAACAGUACUGACCCCGUUAAAGAACUACAGUGGUUCAUAUACGAAUUACAAAACGCUGAAUUUAAUGGAGAAAAAGUGCAUGUGCUCGGACACAUACCUCCAGGUCAUCCAGACUGCUUGAAAGUCUGGAGUCGAAACUACUACGCAAUAAUUUCCAGGUAUGAAAGUACAAUAGCAGCUCAAUUUUUUGGACAUACACAUUUUGACGAGUUUGAAAUUUUCUAUGAUACCCAAGAUCUUGGCAGACCGGUCAGCAUAGCAUAUGUUGGACCAUCAGUAACGCCAUAUUCAGAUUUAAAUCCUGGCUACCGAAUAUAUUAUGUAGAUGGUGAUCGAGAUCAUUCAACUAGAGCAGUGCUAGAUCACGAAACGUGGGUCAUGAAUUUAAAAGAAGCAAAUUUGUAUGAUUAUCCUAUAUGGCAAAAACUGUACUCAACUAGAUCAACUUACAACUUGCCAUCGCUUUCACCUCAAGACUGGGAUACAUUCAUUAACAAAUUAACCGACGAUCAAGCCGCAUUUGAUUUAUAUUACAAACAUUAUUGGAAGAAUUCACCGACACGGCCAUUAUGCGACGCAGAAUGUAAAAAACGAAUGAUUUGUGAUCUUCGGUCUGGCCGCUCUCAUGACCGUAAAACCCUAUGCCAAGAAAUAGAGUCUCGUAUUGACCGUGGCACUAGAGUAGGCUGGCGUACAUGGUUGUAUAACGGAUUUACUGCAUCAAUGGCAAUAUGGUGACGGUAGUCUGUCUAUCGCAAUGUAUAUAUUUCAUUUCUCUAAAUACAUUCAACCAUCAAGUACAGAUUAUUAUUAAUACAAUAAUGGAUGUCAGUUAUUAUGUCUAUACCACACUAUACAUAUCAAAUACCAAAAUACCUACUUGGAUAUACCAGGUGAAUCAUGAUCUAUGAAGGAUAUAAUAUGAAAAAUAUAAUUCAUUUUAAGUCAUUAUCGUCAAUUGGAUCAGAUAAGUUGGCAGCUUAUUUGCUUAUUUACACUUUGGAAUAGCGAUCAGACAAAGUUUUGAAGAUAUUAAAUUGAUCUCUCGAAUGUUUUUGUAUAUAAUCAAACAUUCAUGAGGGAUUUAUUUAAAAUGAGCUUACUGCGAGUUAUAUUAAUAGUAAUCCACGUUUACCUAUUUACUUAUUUUUAAAUUUAAUUUGUAGGCAAUUAACUUUUAUGUACACAAAAAAAAUUUAAAUUAG